rnacentral:rRNA from 1 species
UACAGAGGGGGCAAGCGUUGUUCGGAAUUACUGGGCGUAAAGGGCGCGUAGGCGGCCUUCUAAGUCGAACGUGAAAUCCCCGGGCUCAACCCGGGAACUGCGUCCGAUACUGGAAGGCUUGAAUCCGGGAGAGGGAUGCGGAAUUCCAGGUGUAGCGGUGAAAUGCGUAGAUAUCUGGAGGAACACCUGCGGCGAAGGCGGGUUGCUGGGCCGACACUGACGCUGAUGCGCGAAAGCCAGGGGAGCGAACGGG